GGGACGGGUGAGUAAUGUCUGGGAAACGUGCCUGAUGAGGGGGGAUAACUACUGGAAACGGUAGCUAAUACCGCAUAACGUCGCAAGACCAAAGAGGGGGACCUUCGGGCCUCUUGCCAUCGGAUGUGCCCAGAUGGGAUUAGCUAGUAGGUGGGGUAACGGCUCACCUAGGCGACGAUCCCUAGCUGGUCUGAGAGGAUGACCAGCCACACUGGAACUGAGACACGGUCCAG
rnacentral:rRNA from 1 species